GGACUCAAACUCAUGAACUGUGAGAUCAUGAUCUGAGCCCAAAUCAAGAGUCGGAUGCUUAACUGACCGAGCCACCCAAGCACCCCUCGAUAUAAUUAUUAAUGCUAUAUUGUAUAUACGUAUUUUUUUUUUCAAAGUCAGUCUUUGGAAUUCAGUGUGUAUUUUACACUUAUAGCACAUCUCAAUUUAGAUGAGUCGUGUGCUCAGUAGUCAUGCGGUUAGUGUUACCAUAUUGGACAGUGAAGCUCUAAUCAGAGAUGGAGCCCCAUGUCUGUACUAAAAGUAGAGAUAGCAUGUUGUUUAAGAAGCCCAGUUGUUUGAACCAGACUUCUUGAUUGAAUAUUGGCUCAGCCACUAGCUGUGUGACCUUAGACCAGUCCCUUAACCAUUCUGUGCCUUAACUGUCUCAUCUGUAAAAUGGGCCUAACAAGACUUAUAGGUUAUUGUGAAGAGUAUGUAAGUGCUUAGGGCAACAUGUGGCACAUAGUAGUAUUUGCUCAAUCAAGGCUGGCCGUCUGGAUCUCUGCAUGAUGAGAACCUUGGCCCCAAACAAUUGUUAGCUGAGAGACUGAAUGAAAGAAAUAGUCCUUUGCCCUGCAGCAGAAUGAAGCAGAAAAAGCUGGUUGGGGUGAGUGAGUUUUGUCUGGAGAAAUUGGAACAGGACUGGAGAAGAGAAGGCUGUGGGUGGCUGGCAGAAGGCCCUUCAGAGGGCCCGACGGAGGUUUAUAGCUGUGCUGCCAUGGAAUUUGGAAACAGUAACAGAGCAGCAUAAGGCCGAUAUGAUUCAUUGCUGAAAUGAAGCUUCUGGGGUUCUAAGAAGGGAGGUCUAGAGCUCUGAAGCCUUCAAAGAGCAGGGUGAGGUUUAGAAAACCAGCCAGCAGUGGGUGAUGGGGAGUUUGCUGAGUGCUUGGAGAAAGGGACUAGUUAGGGCAACUAGUCAGGCCCACCCCUCCUGCAGGUACCCUCCCUCCCUGGCGUCUGGCCUCUAGAAGGCAGCAGUUAACGGCUGCGGGCUGCAUUUUGAGGCCACAGCGCCCUCUGCUGGAUUUGAGGGACCUGGGGCAGCAGCAAGAGUAAAUGGUACUGGAAUUUAGGGGAAGGGGUGACAAAACGCUGUGCGCGCCAAGUUCUGUACCAGAUAGAGUCCUUCCUGAUCCCCAGAUACCCCCCAGGAGAUCACACAAUCGGAAUCCCUUGACGAGGACGGAGGAAGUUGAUGGAAAAUGAUCAACUUCUGGGACACCUGAGGGGGCUCAGUCGGUUGAGCGUCCCACUUUGGCUCAGGUCAUAAUCUCGAGCUAAUGCUUAUAUAGCCCUACUAUGCGCCAGGUGCUAUUCUUUGACACAGCUGACAGACAGCAGAGCCAGACGGAACUGAGCAGCAUAAGGCUCACCAUAAGUCUGACACCAGUGUGUUUACUGAAACUCCAUGAGAUCUACUGCUUCUCGAAAAUAAUCAAGACUAGUUUUCUCCUUUAUGUGAGAUAUAGUGAGGCCAAGCGCUUCAGAAAAAGUUGCCAAGAGCAAGUCACAAACCAUUCUGGUGGAAAUGCUGAGCCAAGCUGGGACGGGUUACUUCCUCAACACUAAGAGAAGCCGACUCCGGGAGAAACUGACUCUUCUACGUUAUGAUCUGAUUGUGAAAACAAAAGUCCUCUUUGUGGAACAGAAAAACAUACACUCCCUCUAAACAAUGGAUUGAAAAUGAAUUUGAUUUAUAAAUGAGAAGACUGAGGGCGGGAUACUGAUUCAGAAAUUCUGCAGCGUGUAAUAGAAGAAAUGGCAGGGAACCACUGCCUCCUGUGAUUUGAAGGCCACUGUGAAGGAAAACAAUGUACUGAAAGUUUUUCAUAUUAGGACAUAUAUCAUUGCAUCACGUUCAUUUAUCUUUCUGGAUAUUUUCAUAGCCCUUAAUAAAAAAUAUUAAAAUAGAAAAAGGAAAUAAAACACAAUUUUUAAAAAUUGCUUUAAGGGACCCCGGGUGGCUCAGUCGGUUAAGCCUCCGACUCUUGGUUUCGCUCGCAUCAUGAUCUCGGGGUAUUGUGCGUUGGAGGCCUGCAUGGGGCUCUGUGCUGACAGCUCAGAGCCUGCUUGGGAUUCUCUUUCCCUCUCUCUCUGCCUCUUUCCUGCUCCGGGGCAUGCAGGCUCUCUCUGUGUCUAUCUCUCAAAAUAAAUA